GACGAACGCUGGCGGCGUGCCUAACACAUGCAAGUCGAACGGAAAGGCCCUGCUUUUGUGGGGUUCUCGAGUGGCGAGCGGGUGAGUGAAACGUGAGUAACCUGCCCUUGUCUUUGGGGUAACUUCAGGAAACUGGGGUUCAUACCCGAUAUAACCUCCUGCUGCAUAGUGUUGGUUGGAGAAAGUCGGCGGUUGGGGAUGGACGCGCGGCUUAUCAGCUUGUUGGUGGGGUAGUGGCUUACCAAGGCUUUGACGGGUAGCCGGCCUGAGAGGGUGACCGGCCACAUUGGGCCUGAGGUAGGGCCCAGAGUGCUACGUGAGGCAGCAGGGGGGAAUAGUGCACAAUGGGCGGAAGCCUGAUGCAGCAACGUCGGGUGCGGGAUGACGGUUUGCGGGGAGUAAACCGCUUGCGCGUGUGACGAAGCGUGAGUGACGGUAACGGGUAAAGAAGCACCGGCUAACUACGUG
rnacentral:rRNA from 1 species